GAUAAACGCUGGCGGCGUGCCUAAUACAUGCAAGUCGAGCGAACGGACGAGAAGCUUGCUUCUCUGAUGUUAGCGGCGGACGGGUGAGUAACACGUGGAUAACCUACCUAUAAGACUGGGAUAACUUCGGGAAACCGGAGCUAAUACCGGAUAAUAUUUUGAACCGCAUGGUUCAAAAGUGAAAGACGGUCUUGCUGUCACCUAUAGAUGGAUCCGCGCUGCAUUAGCUAGUUGGUAAGGUAACGGCUUACCAAGGCAACGAUGCAUAGCCGACCUGAGAGGGUGAUCGGCCACACUGGAACUGAGACACGGUCCAGACUCCUACGGGAGGCAGCAGUAGGGAAUCUUCCGCAAUGGGCGAAAGCCUGACGGAGCAACGCCGCGUGAGUGAUGAAGGUCUUCGGAUCGUAAAACUCUGUUAUUAGGGAAGAACAUAUGUGUAAGUAACUGUGCACAUCUUGACGGUACCUAAUCAGAAAGCCACGGCUAACUACGUGCCAGCAGCCGCGGUAAUACGUAGGUGGCAAGCGUUAUCCGGAAUUAUUGGGCGUAAAGCGCGCGUAGGCGGUUUUUUAAGUCUGAUGUGAAAGCCCACGGCUCAACCGUGGAGGGUCAUUGGAAACUGGAAAACUUGAGUGCAGAAGAGGAAAGUGGAAUUCCAUGUGUAGCGGUGAAAUGCGCAGAGAUAUGGAGGAACACCAGUGGCGAAGGCGACUUUCUGGUCUGUAACUGACGCUGAUGUGCGAAAGCGUGGGGAUCAAACAGGAUUAGAUACCCUGGUAGUCCACGCCGUAAACGAUGAGUGCUAAGUGUUAGGGGGUUUCCGCCCCUUAGUGCUGCAGCUAACGCAUUAAGCACUCCGCCUGGGGAGUACGACCGCAAGGUUGAAACUCAAAGGAAUUGACGGGGACCCGCACAAGCGGUGGAGCAUGUGGUUUAAUUCGAAGCAACGCGAAGAACCUUACCAAAUCUUGACAUCCUUUGACAACUCUAGAGAUAGAGCCUUCCCCUUCGGGGGACAAAGUGACAGGUGGUGCAUGGUUGUCGUCAGCUCGUGUCGUGAGAUGUUGGGUUAAGUCCCGCAACGAGCGCAACCCUUAAGCUUAGUUGCCAUCAUUAAGUUGGGCACUCUAAGUUGACUGCCGGUGACAAACCGGAGGAAGGUGGGGAUGACGUCAAAUCAUCAUGCCCCUUAUGAUUUGGGCUACACACGUGCUACAAUGGACAAUACAAAGGGCAGCGAAACCGCGAGGUCAAGCAAAUCCCAUAAAGUUGUUCUCAGUUCGGAUUGUAGUCUGCAACUCGACUACAUGAAGCUGGAAUCGCUAGUAAUCGUAGAUCAGCAUGCUACGGUGAAUACGUUCCCGGGUCU
rnacentral:rRNA from 1 species